CUUGAAAGGAAAAGUAACUCAUUUAAAACUAGCAUGAAAUCAAAUAGAGAAGGUUCAUAAGUGAAGCAACAGCUAAAGUAGGAAAAGUAACUCAUUUAAAACGAGCACGAAAUCAAAUAGAGAAGGUUCAUAAGUGAAGCAACAGCUAAAGUAUUUCAUUCAUUAACUAGAAAGAAAUUCACUUACCAAAAAUACAUGUUCAUAAAAUUGAUCCUAUCAUAAACAUACCCUGUGUAUCGCUUAAAGGACCAACAGAAGCAUCCACGAUUCUCAUGUAACAAAUAGAAGGAUUAAUCAGUUCUCAUAAAGAAAAGACCAAUUAAGUUUCCACUUUCAGCUGUCCUCACUAACCAUCCAAAAAAAAAAA